rnacentral:other from 1 species
GCGGGGCUGCGCGGUGCGUCAGGUCCCCUAUGUCCCCGGGGCCGAUAGCUUCCUUAAGGGAGCUGCCUCUGGCGAGGCCGUGGCCUCGUUACGCGGCGCCCACCUGCAGUCGCAGGUCCCAGGAGGCACCACGGGUCCAACGGCCGAGGCGGCUCCGCA